GAGGGAGAAGAAACAAGGCGAGGAGCGGAGUGGCACCGAACCGGGUCGUCUCUGUGGCGCUGCCAAACUUCUGGGUAAUCCUGAACCAUCUGAAGAAAGCCUCUGCUCCGGAGUGAACAGCAGAAACCUGCAGGGCGCUCAAGGUUUGUCUAGUACAGACCCAGAAGCAGCCGGCACCUAGAUGAGACAGCUGUCCCAAGAUUCCGGACGAGGGCUGAAUAUACCAUCCUACUUUUUUGUUUUGUUUUCUCUUCUUCCCUUUUGUUAUGUGCCCACCCACCAAGGCCCUGAUUCCAGUGUGUGUUAGCAUUUCCCUCACUCCCCCUGCCCUUUUCUGCUUGCAAGCAAACAAUGGCUAGCAAUGAUACUUGGGACAUAUUUCCCCAGUAGGUCCCCUCAAGGAACUGACGCCCUGGGAAACAUCUCAUCUUGACUGAACUGGCCUCUUGUGGUUAUUGGCCAGAAGUGUAGGGGUUCUUUCAGACCCCUCCCUUUGGCCAAAAGGGGGAAAUGACAAAAUAAAAUUUAGAUCCCCUGUUUUCCCAGAACUAAGGUCCAGCCAGCCAGCUAUGCCCUGAGCUUGGCAGGACAACAAUCCUUUGUGAUCAUCCUCUGGAUGAUUCCAUCCUCUGGGCUAGUCACACAGUUCACCAGGUGUUCUCUGAUCAAAGAGAAUAAUGGACAGUCAGAACAUCCUGUAAUGAAUGAAUCAAACUUGUCACAUGCUUGCUGCUCCUUCACUGUCAGUGCUAUAGCUCACUGGGCAGCCACUAGUAUAAGUAUUGAUAUCUCCCCACACUACUUGGGCCCCCUCACCCCCCACUAAGGGUGAGGCCCCAGCACAUAUGUCUAUAGCUCCUCUUGGCUUGCAAGCCUUUUUCCUCACUCUGAAAAUAAAUCUUUAAUUCCUGA